rnacentral:rRNA from 1 species
GUGAGGAAUAUUGGUCAAUGGACGGAAGUCUGAACCAGCCAUGCCGCGUGAAGGAUGAAGGCGUUCUGCGUUGUAAACUUCUUUUAUCAGAGAAGAAACCACUGAUUUCUAUUAGUGUUGACGGUAUCUGAUGAAUAAGCACCGGCUAACUCCGUGCCAGCAGCCGCGGUAAUACGGAGGGUGCAAGCGUUAUCCGGAUUUACUGGGUUUAAAGGGUGUGUAGGCGGGCUAUUAAGUCAGGGGUGAAAUCCCGGGGCUCAACCUCGGUACUGCCUUUGAUACUAUUAGUCUUGAAUUAUGUUGAGGUUGGCGGAAUAUAACAUGUAGCGGUGAAAUGCAUAGAUAUGUUAUAGAACACCGAUUGCGAAGGCAGCUGGCUAAACAUAUAUUGACGCUGAGGCACGAAAGCGUGGGUAGCGAACAGGAUUAGAUACCCGUGUAGUCC